rnacentral:rRNA from 1 species
CGCGUAGGCGGUCGGGUCAGUCGGAUGUGAAAGCCCUGGGCUUAACCUAGGAAUUGCAUUCGAUACUGCUCGACUAGAGUAUGGGAGAGGGAAGUGGAAUUUCCGGUGUAGCGGUGAAAUGCGUAGAUAUCGGAAGGAACACCAGUGGCGAAGGCGACUUCCUGGCCCAAUACUGACGCUCAGGUGCGAAAGCGUGGGUAGCAAACAGGAUUAGAUACCCUGGUAGUC